rnacentral:rRNA from 1 species
GUAGUCUCAACCAUAAAACGAUGCCGACUCGGGGAUUGGCGGGUGUUUAUUCGAUGACUCCGCCAGCACCGUAUGAGAAAUCAAAGUUUUUGGGUUCCGGGGGGAGUAUGGUCGCAAGGCUGAAACUUAAAGGAAUUGACGGAAGGGCACCACCAGGCGUGGAGCUGCGGCUCAAUUUGACUCAACACGGGAAAACUUACCAGGUCCAGACGUAGGAAGGAUUGACAGAUUGAUAGCUCUUUCUUGAUUCUUAUGGGUGGUGGUGCAUGGCCGUUCUUAGUUGGUGGGUUGCCUUGUCAGGUUGAUUCCGGUAACGAACGAGACCUCAGCCUGCUAAAUAGUCACGGCUGCAUCCGCAGCUGGCAAACUUCUUAGAGGGACUGUUGGCGACUAGCCAACGGAAGUAUGAGGCAAUAACAGGUCUGUGAUGCCCUUAGAUGUUCUGGGCCGCACGCGCGCUACACUGAUACGUUCAACAAGUUCCUUGGCUCGAAAGGUCUGGGUAAUCUUUGAAACCGUAUCGUGAUGGGGAUAGAACAUUGCAACUAUUGUUCUUCAACGAGGAAUGCCUAGUAAUCGCGAGUCAUCAUCUCGCGUUGAUUACGUCCCUGCCCUUUGUACACACCGCCCGUCGCUCCUACCGAUUGGAUGUGCUGGUGAAGACUUCGGAUCGGCCACGCUAACUAGGUCUUCCUAGUUGUGGGGUUGAGAAGUUGUUUAAACCCUCCCAUUUAGAGGAAGGAGAAGUCGUAACAAGGUUUCCGUAGGUGAACCUGCGGAAGGAUCA